GACAGAGGUGCCGAGCGUUAGGCGGAAUCACUGGGCUUAAAGCGUGUGUAGGCGGGUCGUUAAGUGUCUUGUGAAAUCCCACCGCUCACCGGUGGAACGGCUGGGCAUACUGGCGACCUUGAGAGGCCUAGGGGCAGACGGAACAAGCGGUGGAGCGGUGAAAUGCGUAGAUAUCUGGAGGAACACCGGUGGCGAAGGCGGCAUCCUGGACCGACAUUGACGCUGAGGCGCGAAAGCUAGGGGAGCAAACGGG
rnacentral:rRNA from 1 species